AUGCAUGGGAAGAAGCUGAUCCGGAAAGGUAUACUAUGGAGAGUAGGUAAAGGAUCAUCAUCAAAACAAGAUUAUUUGGAGAAGGUGUGGAAGAGACUUUGGGCCAUUCAGUGCCCUAAUAAGAUGAAGAUCAUGCUCUGGAGAAUUGCACACAACUGCUUACCUACAUGCUCUCAACUUCAGACACGAUUGAUACCCACAAGGUAUGACUGCUAUUUUUGCAACAGAGAGGAAAAUGUUGAACAUUGUUUUCUACAAUGCCAAUAUGUAAAAGAAAUCUGGAAGGAAUUAAAAAAGAGCUAUGGAAUUUGUCUAAAACUAAAGAAUUUUACUCAUAUUAGACAAUGGCUGCUAGGAUGGAUAGUGGAAGCAACACCCUACGAAGCUAUGAUUAUGGCCGUUGUUAUGUGGCACAUUUGGGAGAACAGGAACAACUAUCGCAAUGGCGAGGCACUAGUUAAUCCUCUUCGCAUGGUGGGGAAAAUCAAAGCUUAUAUUGAAUUCAUUACAGAGUAUAAGAUCAGCCCAACAGGUUCCAACAGACGUGAGACCUUUACAUCAACCCAAAAAUGGUCUCCGCCGCCGGAAGGUUGGUUGCUGAUCAAUGUAGAUGCUGCGGUUUUCUCCCACUCAGGACGGGUUGGCUAUGGAGUUGUAGUGCGAGACCAUCGAGGGACACUUUUGUCUGCAUACCGAGGUUCCUAUAUUGAUCAUAUUCAAAACCCAGAAGUGGCUGAAGCUAUUGCUGUUCGUCAAGCGCUCAUCGCUGCUGAAGAUGCUGGUUUUAAUAAGAUUCAGGUGGUCUCCAAUUGCUUGUCGCUGAUGAACAAGGUUCGGGAUAGGAGUUUCGACAGGUCCCUUCAGGUGCCAUAG
rnacentral:rRNA from 1 species